AGAGUUUGAUCCUGGCUCAGGAUAAACGCUGGCGGCGUGCCUAACACAUGCAAGUCGAACGCCCUUGGGGUAACCCAAGGGAGUGGCGGACGGGUGAGGAACACGUGGGUUAUCUGCCUUGAGGUGAGGAAUACCGGCGAGAAAUCGCCGACAAUACCGCAUAGCCUUGGCAACAAGGAAAGUCCGGAGACGGGCGCCAC
rnacentral:rRNA from 1 species